rnacentral:rRNA from 1 species
AUACAGAGGGUGCAAACGUUGUUCGGAAUUACUGGGCAUAAAGCGCACGUAGGCGGCCAGGUAAGUGUGAAGUGAAAUCCCACGGCUCACCCGUGGAACUGCUUUGCAUACUGCUUGGCUAGAGGAAGGUAGGGGAGAGCAGAACUCUUGGAGGAGCGGUGAAAUGCGUAGAUAUCAAGAGGAAUACCAGUGGCGAAGGCGGCUCUCUGGUCCUUUACUGACGCUGAGGUGCGAAAGCUAGGGUAGCGAACGGGAUUAGAAACCCUAGUAGUCC